UACGUAGGGUGCAAGCGUUAAUCGGAAUUACUGGGCGUAAAGCGUGCGCAGGCGGCUUUGAAAGACAGAUGUGAAAUCCCCGGGCUUAACCUGGGAACUGCAUUUGUGACUGCAUGGCUAGAGUGCGGCAGAGGGGGAUGGAAUUCCGCGUGUAGCAGUGAAAUGCGUAGAUAUGCGGAGGAACACCGAUGGCGAAGGCAAUCCCCUGGGCCUGCACUGACGCUCAUGCACGAAAGCGUGGGGAGCAAACAGG
rnacentral:rRNA from 1 species